rnacentral:rRNA from 1 species
GACCUGAUCCAGCCAUGCCGCGUGUGUGAAGAAGGCCUUUUGGUUGUAAAGCACUUUAAGCAGUGAAGAAGACUCUUCGGUUAAUACCCGGGGACGAUGACAUUAGCUGCAGAAUAAGCACCGGCUAACUCUGUGCCAGCAGCCGCGGUAAUACAGAGGGUGCAAGCGUUAAUCGGAAUUACUGGGCGUAAAGCGAGCGUAGGUGGCUUGAUAAGUCAGAUGUGAAAUCCCCGGGCUUAACCUGGGAACUGCAUCUGAAACUGUUAGGCUAGAGUAGGUGAGAGGGAAGUAGAAUUUCAGGUGUAGCGGUGAAAUGCGUAGAGAUCUGAAGGAAUACCGAUGGCGAAGGCAGCUUCCUGGCAUCAUACUGACACUGAGGCUCGAAAGCGUGGGUAGCAAACAGGAUUAGAUACCCUGGUAGUCCACGCCGUAAACGAUGUCUACUAGUCGUUGGGUCCCUUGAGGACUUAGUGACGCAGCUAACGCAAUAAGUAGACCGCCUGGGGAGUACGGCCGCAAGGUUAAAACUCAAAUG